ACUUACCGGAUGAGAAAUCGUUACUAAGGAAAUCGGUGUUAAAGUAUUCUGCUUUUUUCCUUUCAGUAACUGGAAUGAGCCCUUUGUCGCCGUAUUUAAACUUGGACCCCAGGUAUCUAGUACAGGAUACAGAUGAGUUUAUCUUGCCCACAGGAGCCAACAAAACUCGAGGCAGAUUUGAGCUGGCCUUUUUUACCAUUGGAGGAUGUUGUAUGACAGGGGCAGCAUUUGGUGCGCUGAAUGGUUUGCGGCUUGGCUUGAAGGAGACACAGAAUAUGGCGUGGUCAAAACCUAGAAAUGUACAAAUUCUAAAUAUGGUGACAAGGCAAGGAGCGUUAUGGGCUAACACUCUGGGAUCUCUGGCUCUACUUUACAGUGCUUUCGGAGUCAUCAUUGAAAAAACACGAGGUGCAGAAGAUGACCUGAACACCAUAGCUGCUGGAACCUUGACAGGAAUGCUAUACAAGAGCACUGGUGGAGUGCGUGGGAUAGCACGAGGUGGCAUCGCAGGUCUGACGCUUACUGGCCUCUACGCUCUCUAUAACAACUGGGAGCACAUGAAGGGCUCCAUAGCCCGGCAGUCCCUCUGAGCAGGGCAGCCAGCGCUGGAUGAAGGACACGCUUGCAUAGUCACCAAUCAAAUCAGUUGCAAGAUCUGUCUGGUGCCCUUUCCUAUUUUAUUUACAAUUAGUGUGAAACUGAAGGAAGCUCUGCUGGGAAAAACCUCUUGACAUCAUGUACCUGGACUGGCCCCUUCCUUUCUGCCAGCCAGUCGCUGGAGAGGCAGCAAGAUUUGUUGGACCUGCAAGUGAGCAGAGUGCCCACAGAGAUAGAGUCUCCCUGACACGCUCACCAGCUCGCCCUGGGCCAGAGCUACGAGGCAUGCUCAAGUCCCAUAGCUGUACCUGCUGCGCUGCCAGUGGGCUGCGUAUUACUGCUGCGGUGUCAGAGCUGGACCUUCUAGCAUGCAGUUUUUUGAGGGCCAUGCCAUCAAAGAAGCUGUCCUACUUACGAGCUGCAGACAGGUGAUGUAGGCACCAGCUGCGCAGCACUAUUGGGUGGGACAUCAGGAAAAUGUGUGCACUUUCAUUCUUGAGCUGCUUUUUCUCUCCCCAUGGGCAUCAGUGAGUUCCUUCUCGCCAUGUUUCUUGUUUGCUGGUUAAUAGGACUUGCACUCCCACACACUGGGCGAUGCUGGCUGAAGGACUGAUAGCCAGUUUGGGGGCUGAUGGUGCGAGAGGGUUGCUCUGGUGUCAGGAACUCUGCAAUGUGUCUUGUAGUUUUGUUAGAGACUUUUUUGGUACUGAAAUAUGACCCAGGAGCUCUCAGCCCCUAACUGAAAUGGGAAAGCUGUGAAGCUUAACGAAUGUCUUUCCUCCUUUAGGUGCAGUGGAGAUACUGUAGGUUGUAGGAUACUUGUAGGAACAAGCUUUUUUAAGUUCAAAGUUACCACAACCUUAAGGCUAGGCUGGCUCCUGAGGCAAUGUAGCAUGUUAUCUGGUCUGCAGUAACCUCAAAUUUCCUGGAAUCGCUUGCCUCGGAGGCAGAGCCGAGUGCAUUUUUCUGAAAUAGCUGUUUCUAGGGCUAUUAAAGGCUUUGGUUCAUAACCUGUUUGUAUAUGGAGUGAUGCAUAGCUUGAGCUAUGAAAUGCAACCAGCACGGAGGCAGCAGCGAGGGAGGGAAGUUGUAAGUGUGGAAUACAGAGAACAUCUUUAUCAAGGCUGACUGCGGUCACAGUUCAACGGCGAACAAUCAGUAUAAAGUUGCUACUUAAAGCUGUGACCAGAAGCAUAUCCGAGUUCAGUAGGAAUAAGAGGAAGUAAAAUCAAGUUGCAAACAGGAUUUGGCAACCCCCUUGCAGUCCUCCCAUGCAGUGUUACAUAAAUGUGAGCACAGGAGACCUUGGCUGUCGUAAAGAGAGAUGUUUUAUCCUCUUGCAGUGCCAGUCAUGGCACCUGGUUUUGCUGAUUGAUCCAAGGUAGCUUUCCAUGCUGUGGCAGCAGGUGAGGGCAUCUGAGAUAACAGGUGUAAUGAAAGCUUUUCGAAUCCUGUAAAGCUGCUUGUGUGUAGUCUUUGCAACAGAGAAAGGCAAUUUCACCAUUCCCUGUCAGCAGGUGACUUCUCUUACAUUUGGGGGAAUUUGUUGAAAAAGCACUAGUCAUGUGGUGGGAAUCUCCAGCUUCCUCAAUGCAGCAGAAGCUGCUUCUGAAAACAGAAGGGAAAUGUAUGCUAGGGCAGAAAAAUGAUCCAGUGUUCAUAGCUUCUUUCCUCUGACUUAACCUGGGACUGCAAAGAGAGAGCGGAAGCCAUUUUUGAUGCUUUAACAGGAGGUUACCCCUGUGCAUAAUAGAUUCUAGAUAGUUAGGAAAUUGGUAUGUUUGAAGUGGAGCUUUGUGUACUCUGUGAGUAUUGGCCUGUGCUGCCGAAUGCCAGGCGCUGCGGGGAUUUUGCACAGAAGCAAGUUGCGAGGAUUCGUUUGGUCCAGAAACUCAGCUGAGGGAGAAGCGGGAGGUAACUGCUCCAGCUCCACAGGGAGAGGAGUAGAACAGAGCAUUUCAGAGAGGACCCCACUCUUCAGUCCAAUCUGAUAAUCUCAGAUUGCUCAAAAGAAGGUCUCCAGGUAUUAUCCAGAGAAGCCAGGAAUAGCAUUCUCUGCUUUUGCUACUCCAUCUUCCUUGUCUUGGGAAGACCUGGUAUUUUUCUACCUGUCUUUGAAAGCCAUACUCAGGAUAUGUGUUCAGGAGUUCUGCAUGUGGCUGCUUCUAACAAAGAACUCUAGUCCAUUCCUGAAAACUGCAUGUGCACACCCACGCAUGAAAUUCCAGGUGUUGGGGUUGAAAGGCUGCCAGGCCCAGCUGCACACCCUCUCAUGAGACUGUUCUCUUAAUGCUACAACGCAGCCUGGAUUAAGUCACUUCUGCCAGUUUAAAGGAAUGGAAAAACCUCAAAGGAGGACUGAAACAUGCAGGGAGUCUGAUGUUCAAAAAGGAACACAAAGGAAAGCAGAGGAGCCAGAAAGGAGCCAACGUCUAAUUGUGCAGCCAGACCAGAGAUGUUCUACAGCCACAGGAGGACUGAAGGCCACUAAAAUCCAUAAACCCUCCUUAAGUAUUCAAGGGUGACAGGAAACAAACAUCAUUCUGUAUUUCCUACAGCAGCUGAUUAAAGGCCGGGUGAUUUAGACACACGAUCCCUGUGCCCAGGGGCUGAUGUGGCGGUGCAGUAACAGACAGGAGUUACCCCUUGGGCGUGCGGCUGGUGCCAGGGUUUCCUGGCUUUGACAGCAGGGCUCCGCGCAACGGCAGGGAGCGGUGAAACGUGGAAGUAGAGCAUGCAAAUCCCAUACAGGGACAGAAGCACGGCAGCAUCCAAACCAAAGUGAACUGUGCAACGUGCCGCAGCGUUUUUUUGUCAACCAUUGUGCAAAGGAGACGUACCACACCUUUGGGUGCAAUUAUUUUUUAAUGGAAAAGACUAAUCGAUGUUUUACAUAAAUAUCAAUUAGUGAUAACAAGUCAGUUGAGUAAGUAAAGGAAUACAUACCCCCAAGUUUUAAAGGCUCAUAAUGAACUGACAAAGUAGCACACAAUGACAACUACAAGGAAUUGUAAGAGGUGGGCUGCACGUCAAAUCACCUUCAUUAAGUUCAACUGCUAAUCAAAUUAGGCUACUAUUGGAGUUAGUCACAGUGCAGUCUUCCCAUGCAGCAACAAGGACACGUUCAAAGGGGAAAGUGAACUUCAGAAACAUCUCUCUGCUUCCAGAAAGAACAGAAGCCUCAAGUGGUCCACUGACAUUAAGCCCUUUCUGGGGUCUGGUUUCAGAUGUGCAGUGUCCCCCUCUCAGACUAAAAACUUACUUUUAAACCAGAUGCACAGGUUCUAUCAGAAGGGAAUGUGUUCACACUGCAAAGUGAUACCAAGGUUGGAUCUUGGUACUAAUUUCUUUUUUACAGUGUUGUGAAGAACUGAAAUCACCUCUAUUCCCAGGCAGGCUGCAGGGAUGGGGAGAAGGGGAGGCUAUAUUUAUAGUCAUUAAGAGCGAUUUGUUAAAUGAGUAGAAGCUGCACCAGAAACUAUGUAACUUCACAGUUUUUUAUGCAAGCUGACAGGCAUGAUCCACAUUUCCAUCCAACAUCUCCACACUCCUUCCUAUAGGCUCAAAACACUACCUAAACAGGUAUUGCUCAUGCUAUGUCUGCAGCUAUAGGGAUCAGUUACUCCGCCCCACUUUCACAUGCAUAACAACAUGGAAAUCCACAGCUUAAGUAUCUUACAAAUGGAUCAGUGGGAGCCACACAGUUUGCCAAGUUAGUGUUUCCCAAUUAAACAGCAUGACAAGGCAUCAAAUUCCCCAAAUAUUACCUUUAAAUAUUAUGUGGCUAAGAUGCCUGCUUUCCAGUGGUUUAACCAAUAAAAGUUCAUUAUUAAUUACCUAAAACUAGCAGAAAUGUACACAUUCCACCUUACAGCUUUUUCAGUGAAAUUCAAAUAGUUAUUAAAUGCUGGGGACACGGUAGGAUCUGAUCUACUGAUGCAUGAAAAUUAACACCCUACCCUGUUCUCUGAAUGGCUCAAAAAUUUGCAAGAAAGUUCUCAUUCAAAACAGAAGUUACCAAUUCUCCUGCAACGUGUCAGGUCCCAUAAAUUCAUGUCUUUUUCAAAAUCUGGACUACACGUACUCAGCCGGGAGACGCACCAAUAGAAGAUACAAAUGAAACCUUUAAAGUGAGCAACUGCUCAAUAAAAGAAAUUGCUUCCAAAUACAGCCUAAGUUAUCUUACAAUCCCAAUAAGCUGGAACCCAACUCAUGACAAAGUUGUAGCAGCUGAAAGAGAAUGGCAACGCUUCUGAAG